rnacentral:rRNA from 1 species
GACGAACGCUGGCGGCGUGCUUAACACAUGCAAGUCGAACGAAGUGGCGAACGGGUGAGUAACGCGUAAUCAACCUGCCCUUCAGCGGGGGACAACAUUUGGAAACGACUGCUAAUACCGCAUACUGAAGGAGGGGCUUCCGUCUGAUUAGUUAGUUGGGGGGGUAACGGCCCACCAAGGCGAUGAUAAGUAGCCGGUCUGAGAGGAUGAACGGCCACAUUGGGACUGAGACACGGCCCAGAAUCCUACGGGAGGCAGCAGUGGGGAAUCUUCCGCAAUGGACGAAAGUCUGACGGAGCAACGCCGCGUGAGUGAUGACGGCCUUCGGGUUGUAAAGCUCUGUUAAUCGGGACGCGGUACCGGAAGAGAAAGCCACGGCUAACUACGUGCCAGCAGCCGCGGUAAUUC